rnacentral:rRNA from 1 species
GUGAGGAAUUUUCCGCAAUGGGCGAAAGCCUGACGGAGCAAUGCCGCGUGAAGGAUGAAGGCCUAUGGGUUGUAAACUUCUUUUCUCAGAAAAGAAUUAUGACGGUAUCUGAGGAAUAAGCAUCGGCUAACUCUGUGCCAGCAGCCGCGGUAAGACAGAGGAUGCAAGCGUUAUCCGGAAUGAUUGGGCGUACAGCGUCUGUAGGUUGUUUAAAAAGUAUUCUGUCAAAGAUUAGGGCUUAACCCUAGAUAGGCAGAAUAAACUUUUAAGCUAGAGUUUGGUAGAGGCAGAGGGAAUUCCCGGUGGAGCGGUGAAAUGCGUAGAUAUCGGGAGGAACACCAAAGGCGAAGGCACUCUGCUGGGCCAAUACUAACACUGAGAGACGAAAGCGAGGGGAGCAAAUGGGAUUAGAAACCCGGGUAGUCC